UACGGAAUGUGCAAACGUUAUUCGGGAUCACUGGGCUUAAAGAGUCCGUAGGCGGCAUGUUAGGUGAGGUGUGAAAUCCCCCGGCUCAACCGAGGAAUUGCGCUUCAUACCGGCGUGCUAGAGGAAGAUAGAGGUGGGCGGAACUGAUGGUGGAGCGGUGAAAUGCGUUGAUAUCAUCAGGAACACCGGAGGCGAAGGCGGCCCACUGGGUCUUUUCUGACGCUGAGGGACGAAAGCUAGGGGAGCGAACGGG
rnacentral:rRNA from 1 species